rnacentral:rRNA from 1 species
UACGUAGGUGGCAAGCGAUACUCGGAAUCACUAGGCGUAAAGCGCAGGUAGGCGGUUCAGUAAGUCUUUUGUGAAAGACCCCCGGCUCAACUGGGGGGGCGUCGUGCGAUACGGUCGGACUGGAGGCCAGUAGGGGGGAUGCGGAAUUCCGGGUGUAGUGGUGGAAUGCGUAGAGAUCCGGAGGAACACCAGCGGCGAAGGCGGCAUCCUGGACUGGUCCUGACACUCAGGAGCGAAAGCGUGGGGAGCGAUCCGG